AAACACUUAAAACAAAGUAAUAGUCUCAAUUUUCUACCGAGUUACACAAACACAAAAACAAAAUAAUCUCAAUUUAUAUAAAGUUUGACAAACUUAAAUGGAAACCUUUCACUAAGUUUUACCUAGUUAAACAAACAUAAAUAACAAAAUUUUACUGAAAUAACAAGUUACACAAACUUGUUUUACACAUCCCCAACAACCUUUUUCCAUUACCACUUCCACUGUCCUUCUCAUUUGUGCCCUAGCCAACACUCUUUUUUAUAUCUCUCCACUACCUGAACCACCAUCCUUUUCACUUUGUUCCAUGUCUACAACAUCAGAGGUUUUAAGGCUUCACUUUCGUUCUUUAAAAGUUGCACUUCAUAAAAAAGUGUAUUUAAGUGUAUCAAAUUAAUCAUCAUCAUAAAAUUGCACAAAGUAUUACUAAGUUAUACAAUCCAAAUCAGUUGAAGUUUUUUACUAAAUUGUACAAAGUUUAUAGUUACAUCAAGUUUUACUAAGGUAUACCAUUCUGAGUUCGUUUUUCUCCUAUUUUGCUGGAUAAUUCAUUAUUUUUCUCGUCUCUUAUUGAAAGAUUAUCCUUUCUCUAGUAAGAGUGAAAAAGAAUCGGAAUGAUUGAUUUGGUUUAUCGAAAAAGGAAGACAUAUGAAGAAUGAGAAGACCUUAAAAACACUUAGUCAAUUUUAGAUUCUUAGGACUGAAUCUGGAUUUAACGGCUCUGGGUAUGGUUUUGGGUUUGGUAGUCUACUGGUUAACUUUUAAUAUUUUUUUUAGGUGGUCUUUUAAUAAUUUUUGUGAUUCAAAUAAAUAUUAAAUCUAUACUAAUAAAAUAGACCAUUUGAGGCUCCAUGGGAUGUCCACAUAAGAUAAAAAAAAUUCUUCUGAAAAAUACCACGUGGCAGUAUUACUAAAAAAUAAAAAUAAAAAUAUAAAAUAAGUAAAUAUAAAAUAUUAGAAAAAAUAAAUAAUAAGUAAAUAUAAAUACAAGAAAAAUAACUAAUAUACAAUAUAAGAAAUAGAAAAACUAAAUUAAGCAUCUAUCUCAAAAUAUAUAGUAAAAUAAAUAAUAAGUAAAUAUAAAUACAAGAAAAAUAACUAAUAUACAAUAUAAGAAAUAGAAAAACUAAAUUAAGCAUCUAUCUCAAAAUAUAUAGUAAAAUAAAUAAUAAGUAAAUAUACAACAAAAAAAUAAAAAAAAUAUUACAUUAAACAUCUAUUAGAAUAUUAGAAUAAGUAAAUAUAAAAUACAAUAAAAAUAAGUAAUAAGUAAAUACAUAAUAUAAAAAAUAGAAAACAACAUUAAAUAUCUAUCUGAAAAAUGUAUAAUAAAAUAAAUAAUAAGUAAAUAUAUUGUAUAAGAGAUCGAAAUAUUACAUGAAACAUCUACCGUAAUACAGUUAGAUAUAAAAGCAAAACAAUUAGAAUAAGUAA
rnacentral:lncRNA from 1 species